UACGUAGGUGGCAAGCGUUGUCCGGAAUUAUUGGGCGUAAAGCGCGCGCAGGUGGUUUCUUAAGUCUGAUGUGAAAGCCCACGGCUCAACCGUGGAGGGUCAUUGGAAACUGGGGAACUUGAGUGCAGGAGAGAAGAGUGGAAUUCCACGUGUAGCGGUGAAAUGCGUAGAGAUGUGGAGGAACACCAGUGGCGAAGGCGACUCUUUGGCCUGUAACUGACACUGAGGCGCGAAAGCGUGGGAGCAACAGG
rnacentral:rRNA from 1 species